rnacentral:rRNA from 1 species
AUUGAACGCUGGCGGCAGGCCUAACACAUGCAAGUCGAGCGGAUGAAGGGAGCUUGCUCCUGGAUUCAGCGGCGGACGGGUGAGUAAUGCCUAGGAAUCUGCCUGGUAGUGGGGGAUAACGUCCGGAAACGGGCGCUAAUACCGCAUACGUCCUGAGGGAGAAAGUGGGGGAUCUUCGGACCUCACGCUAUCAGAUGAGCCUAGGUCGGAUUAGCUAGUUGGUGGGGUAAAGGCCUACCAAGGCGACGAGCCGUAACUGGUCUGAGAGGAUGAUCAGUCACACUGGAACUGAGACACGGCCCAGACUCCUACGGGAGGCAGCAGUGGGGAAUAUUGGACAAUGGGCGAAAGCCUGAUCCAGCCAUGCCGCGUGUGUGAAGAAGGUCUUCGGAUUGUAAAGCACUUUAAGUUGGGAGGAAGAGAAGUAAGUUAAUACCUUGCUGUUUUGACGUUACCAACAGAAUAAGCACCGGCUAACUUCGUG